rnacentral:rRNA from 1 species
CCUACGGGUGGCAGCAGUGAGGAAUAUUGGUCAAUGGGCGCUAGCCUGAACCAGCCAAGUAGCGUGAAGGAUGACUGCCCUAUGGGUUGUAAACUUCUUUUAUAUGGGAAUAAAGUGAAGCACGUGUGCCUUUUUGCAUGUACCUUAUGAAUAAGGAUCGGCUAACUCCGUGCCAGCAGCCGCGGUAAUACGGAGGAUCCGAGCGUUAUCCGGAUUUAUUGGGUUUAAAGGGAGCGUAGAUGGGUUGUUAAGUCAGUUGUGAAAGUUUGCGGCUCAACCGUAAAAUUGCAGUUGAUACUGGCAGUCUUGAGUACAGUAGAGGUAGGCGGAAUUCGUGGUGUAGCGGUGAAAUGCUUAGAUAUCACGAAGAACUCCGAUUGCGAAGGCAGCUUACUAGACUGUAACUGACACUGAUGCUCGAAAGUGUGGGUAUCAAACAGGAUUAGAUACCCGUGUAGUC